GUGGGGAUAUUUAUACCAUGGAAACAGGCAAACACUAUAAAUCAGAGCUUGACUUAUUGUAUAUUAGCAAAUUUAUCAUAAAUUCAAGUACAUAUGCAUAUGUCUUUUCUGGAGGGUCAGUUGUUAAACCCUUACCAGCAUACCCUUCCCUCUUCUUAUGCUUCAUUGGCCAGAACUCAAUCAUGUGGCUUCACCUAGAUGCACGGACUAGAGAGCAAUUAGAUUAGCUGUGUGUCCAAGAAAAAAGAAAGAGCAAGGAGGCCCACAUGGUGUACUUUAGGGGCCGGGCCUGGAAGGGGUAUAUCCCACCUCCAUCCCAUGGGCCAUUGGCCGGGACUCAGUCACAUGAUCCCACUUACAUGCAAGAUAGCAUAUGUGCUUUGGUAGUGUAGAAAGAAGAGAAAGGAAGAAGAAGAGAGAGAUUGGUGAACAGUAGCAUCUAUAUACACCCAAAGGGGGUAAAGGUAGUUAGUAUAUUUAUCCUCUUCCUGACAAAAACAAAGAUCUUAAAAUGCCUGAACUUCCCUCCUAACUUCUUCCACCCAUCUUCCCUAUUAGGAUUUUCUAGUAUUGUAGUUUCACCAACCUUUUGUAUGAGCCAAAUGAGAGUUUUUUGUUGUUGUUGGGUGGAUGAGUGGUUAGUUUUUGUGUGUUUUUACAGGCCCUUCUGUAACCUGGGAAAGUGUUCCCCAUCGUAUUCUGGAGAAUUACUCUGAGCAUCUCUGUUUGUUUCUAACUAUGAUAUUCAGAGGAGGCAUACAGGAUUUUAACUGAAUUGAAAACAAGAUGUAAUGUGGGAAGUACUGGAGAUAUAGUAACUGUUGGGAAUGAGGAAAAUGUAUGAUGAAAAUGUGGACAUAGUUCCUGUAACUUUUGCACCUCUCAAACUCCAAUUGAAAUUUAAAUCCAAAAUGCAUUAUUCUGAGGAUAAUUGUUCAGCAUAAAAUUAUGAACUCAAAUUAGUAUCUCAUCACCCUUUCAAAGGAAAGCCUGAGAACCAAGGACAUAGAACCAAAUUUUAGCUUUCCCAUCAGACCCCUCCAGGUCACUGUUAAAGUAUUGCUGGGGGAGGGGGGAAGAGCUGGGAAAGCAAUGGUGUGGUCACACAUUAUGCAUCUGCACCAGUCUUGAGAGCUCUGCAAAUCUGUCCUAUAGGUGGUGUGGGAACAAGGAGUUAUUCAGGCUGCGAAACAAUAAAUGGGGAAACAUUAAGUGGACAGUUGUCCAGGCAGAGAGUCAUAACCAGGCUAAAGCACCCAGGGACCCCCCACGGCCAGGUCCCUAUGGAUGUCACCAGCAGCAUACACAGCAGGCAACUCCCUUUCUCCCCUGGCAGCACUGGACCAGGUGUCCUAAGAUCUAGAUCCUGUCCUUACUCUGUGUGAUUCUAUUCUAGCCCCAACCUUUCUAGAUCCAAAUUUUCUCAUCUUUAAAAUGCACCCACCUACAUCACAGGGUUGCCAUGCAGUUGAAAUAAGGUAAUAGUUAUGAAAGUACUUUGAAAAGCUGUAAGAAUUGUAAUAAUGUUAUUCCUUGACUAUAGAUUAACGAACAUAAUAAAAUUGCUAUUGCAGAUAUUAGCAUAAUAGCACAGAUUGUCCUUCCCUUUAAUGCAAUUCAUCAGGAAUAAAAUGCUUCUGCUUUUUCCUGACGUUCUCUCACCAUCUUUCCUCUGUAGGAGGCUAUGAGGCUCACUGGUCUCCAGAAAUGUACCUCUGUGUGCGGGAAUGUUCCAGAAGGCCACACUGUCUACAGGGCCAUUGCUUCACUGCAGAUUAGAUGUCCUCCCAGAACCUUCCAGGGCACUAAUUGCCUAAACAGC
rnacentral:lncRNA from 10 species